CUGCGGAAGGAUCAUUAUCGAAUAAACUUGGUCGUGUUGUAGCUGGCCUCUCGGGGCAUGUGCACGCACACCGACGUUUUCUUUUCCACCUGUGCACCCUUUGUAGACCCUGGAGUGGACCCCUCGAGGCAACUCGGUUUGAGAGGCUGACGUGCUUUAUCGCCCGUCUCUUCUUGUGCUCCUAGGUCUAUGUUUUCAUAUACCCUAUAGUAUGUCAAASAAUGUUUUCGAUGGGCUUCAUUGCCUAUGAAUCAAUACAACUUUCAACAACGGAUCUCUUGGCUCUCGCAUCGAUGAAGAACGCAGCGAAAUGCGAUAAGUAAUGUGAAUUGCAGAAUUCAGUGAAUCAUCGAAUCUUUGAACGCACCUUGCGCUCCUUGGUAUUCCGAGGAGCAUGCCUGUUUGAGUGUCAUUAAAUUCUCAACCCUUUCAUUUCUGAUUGGGCUUGGAUGUGGGGGUUGCAGGCUUCCUUAGAAGUCAGCUCUCCUUAAAUGCAUUAGCGGAGCGCUUUGUGGACCGCCUCUAGUGUGAUAAUUAUCUACGCCAUUGUGUGGUAAACAGCUUAUGUGGGGCUCAGCUUCUAACGGUCCAUUGA
rnacentral:rRNA from 1 species